ensembl:lncRNA LINC00662 long intergenic non-protein coding RNA 662
AGAGAUGCGCAGUGCUGCCCCUUUCUAUGGGCAGGGCCGAAGGUCCGCGUGUAAAAGUACCCAGUCCCUGGUAACCUGACACUUCCCUUUUAAAAGCCACCUUUUGUCUAUCUCUGGCCUGCCACGAUUCUUCCUGUGCUCCAUAGGAGGACCCAUUGGACCCCCGGGCUGGCUGCAGGGCCCACACCUGGGUUAGACCUCGCACAGGGACGCUGCUGCCACUGUAAUAAAGCGUGCCUACACGCUUCUGAAACUGGUGUAGGAACAACCUCAGUUCUGUGAAAGGCGGACGCAGCAGGACAGAAUCUCCGUGGACAUCUGUCUGGAGGAGCAAUUUUACUGCGACAUUUUAAAGAAACAAAUUUAAUUGAUUUCCAAGGGUGUCCAUCGCGCUUCCUUCACUGCCUUGAUCAUGUCGGGGUCACCACCUGCGGGGGUUUGUCCUGCAGACCCUGACUCAACGACGGAUGAAUAAUGUACACUGACACAGAUCUUAUGCUUGUCAGUCCUGCUGAGCAUCCAGGCCACUUACAGACUCCAAGAAGAGUCCUGUCAGCCACGGCUCUGACUUGUUGGCCCUCCCGGCAUUUAUUUAGCACACAUUUAAUGACAGAAGUCUCAGGUAAACACCACUAGAAGGCUGGAAACACUCUUUUUGUAGAACAUACAAAUGGACAUUUCUAAGCACAUUGAGGCCUAUAAUGAAAAAUCAAAUAUCCCACAAUGAAAACUAGAAGGAAGCUAUCUGUGAUAAUGCUUUGUGGUGUAUGGAUUCAUCUCACUGACUGAAACCUGAGUUUUGAUUCACCAGAAUCUAUGCAGGGACAUUUUUGUGCUCAUUGAGGCCUACUGUGAAAAACCAAACAUCAGGGGUGGAGCCAAAAAAGCCAAAUAGGAACAGCUCCAGUCUACAGCUCCCAGCAUGAGCCACACAGAAGAUGGAUGAUUUCUGCAUUUCCAACUGAGAAUCUAUGAAGGGACAUCAUUUCUGAGCCCAUUGAGACUUGUAGUGAAAAACCAAGCAUCCCCUGAUAAAUAGGUAGUAGAAACAAACUACCUAUGAAAAUGCUUUUUGAUUUGUGGAUUUAUCUCACAGUGUUAAAUUUUUGAUUUGAUUCAACUGGUUGAAAACAUUCUUUAUGUAGAAUCUAUGAAGAGACGUUUUUGAGCUUAUCGAGAUGUAAGGUGAGAAACUGAAUAUCCCGCUAUGCAAAGUACAAACAAGCUCUCUGUGAAAAUGCUUUGUUAUAUGGGGAUUCUUCUCACUGAAUGGAUCUUGUGUUGUGAUUCACUGGGUUGGAAACACUUUUUUUUAGAAUCUAUGAAGGGACAUUUCCGAGGCCAUCGAGGCCUAUAGUGAACAACAGAAUAUUCUGUGAUAAAAACUAGAAACAACCUACCUGUGAAAACGAUUUGUGAUCUUUGGAUUCAUCUCACCACAUGGAACCUGUGUUUUGAUUCAGCUGGUUGGAAAAACUCUUUUUGUGGAAUCUACCAAAGGAUAUUUCUAAGCCCGUUGAGGCCUAUAUUAAAUUGAUUAUCUCAUGGUUGAAAGCAUUCUUUUUGUAGAAUCUAUGAAAAGACAUUUCUGAGCUUAUUCUGGUUUAUAGAGUAAAACCGAAUAUCCUGAAAUAAAAACUGGAAACUAGGUUGGAAACUUUUUUUGUAGAAUCUAUGAAGAAACAUUUCUGAGCUCACUGAGGCAUAUUUGGAAAAAUGGGUAUCUCACAAUACAAACUGGAAACAAGCUAUCUGUGGAAACGUUUUAUGAUGUGUGGAUUCAUGUCACAGAGUUAAUCCUUUGUUUUGAUUCAACAGUUUGAAAACACUUUUUUUGUAGAAUAUACAAAAAGACAUUUCUGAGCCCUUUGAAUCCUAUAGUAAAGAAACAAAUAUCUCACGAUAAAAACUAAAAAGAAAUUUUCUGUGAAAA